rnacentral:rRNA from 1 species
ACGGAAGGCAGCAGUGGGGAAUAUUGGGCAAUGGAGGCAACUCUGACCUAGCAACGCCGCGUGAGUGAAGAAGGCCUUCGGAUUGUAAAGUUCUUUAAUUGGGGACGAAGAAAGUGACGGUACCCAAAGAAUAAGCCACGGCUAACUACGUGCCAGCAGCCGCGGUAAUACGUAGGUGGCAAGCGUUGUCCGGAAUGACUGGGCGUAAAGGGAGUGUAGGCGGCGCAACAAGUUAGGAGUGAAAUCCCGAGGCUUAACCUCGGAACUGCUUUUAAAACUGUUGUGCUUGAGUGAUGGAGAGGAAAGCGGAAUUCCUAGUGUAGCGGUGGAAUGCGUAGAGAUUAGGAGGAACACCAGAGGCGAAGGCGGCUUUCUGGACAUUAACUGACGCUGAGGCUCGAAAGCGUGGGGAGCAAACAGGAUUAGAUACCCUAGUA